ensembl:lncRNA
AUGAGCCUUGCAUUCACUUGUGCGUUGUUACACUGCAUAAUGGCGACAGGUGAGAAAAGAGCAAAAAAAAAACGUAAUUUCUCAGACACUGACAUACACAUACUUGUAGGGGAGGUGGAGGCCCGGAAAACAACAUUAUUUGGUGGCCACAGCAGUAGGAUCACUAAUAAAAAGAAGCAGUGCGAGUGGCAACGUGUUGCUGCUUCUGUCAACUGCAUCAGUGGGACAGAACAGACAGUUGCAGAACUAAAGGAAAAGUGGUCCGAUCUGAAGUUAUCUAAUGGUAGAGUACUUGAUGCUAUCCUGUACUCCAUCCUGCCCUGCCAUCUCCACCUGCACUCCCGCCUCUUCCUUUGUUUUGUUGUUCUGGACCACCAUGCCAACAUUUGAAAUUCAUCUGCACCUUCUACCUCUCCUUCCACCCUGUUGUCCACUUCCUCUAUGUCCAUGUCUUCUUACAGUGUCUCCUCAUGCUCUUUCCACUACACCAAUACCCUCUUCUCUAAUCAUCUCUUCUCCAUUUCCUUCUCCUCUCCUCUUCUCUUUUCUCACAUCUUCCUCUCUGCUCAUCUCUUUCUAGCUGUUUCACUCUUCAUCUUCUCUUUCAUUAUGCCCCUUUCUCUACCCACUCUUACACCUUGUAGACUUACACCUUUCUUUAACCCACUUUUAUAUUUACAUUUAUAUUUAUUAUCAUUAUUUUAUUUUAUUUAUUUAUUUAUUAAAUUUUUUGCUUAUUUGUUCUUGCUCUUUCUAUGCUUUCCAUUGUAUUAUUACUCUAAAGCAAUUGUGAUAAAUGUGUAAACAAUUAGGAAAACUGCAUUUCCUCUGUUGUGUGUAUAAUUAUCUGAAUAGUUAUCAGUUUAGGGCCAAUCGAAAAUAUACCAUCUUCAUUUGAUAGAAUGACAAAUUAAGUUUUGUUUGUUGUGUUUGGACAAAUGGUACAUAAAUGUUUGUGUUUUGUGUAAAACCCUUUUUUCAGAUAUUUUAAAGUAUUGGUUGGUUGUAUUAACUAUUGUGAAAACAUUUGAGAGUUUUGUGCACAUUGUUUUGAGAAACUGAUUUGCAUUUGUAUGAAAUGAAUGAAAAUGUAAAAUCUGUUUAGGACAAUUAUAAAGUGUUUUGAUCACUGUGGUAACUGUUUUGAGAACAGUGACCUGAGUAUGGAGAAAUGUGUCAAAUCGAUUGAGAAAAACUGUAAAACUGAAACCUUUGUAAAUUGUGACUAAGAAUUUACUCACUCAGUCUUGUCCAAAUAAUAUUUUCUUUGGAGUCCAUGUUGAGAAUGCUGUAUGUCUUGGGGAACACUCAUGUCAUUUCGCCCUCCUCUGACCCUGCUUUAGCCUUACUGAUCAUGUCCUUUGCAGUGACCUUAAUAACACCCCGGGUGACUCCUCUUUCAUGGUCGUAUAAUUGCAUCUGCAGAAUGCUGCUCUGAUCUGUGCUAAGCCUCAGGCCUAAAUCCUCCUCAGCCUGUCUAUAUAUACUUGCUGUGGGCCCACAUUGGACGCUUGGUGCUACUCUAGGCUAAAGGUCUUGGCCUAGUGUCUGAGAGGGUAUUUCCCCUCCUUCUUUCUUUCCUGACCCUUCCUUCACUUUAUUUUACCUCUAUACUCAUUCUAGCACAAUAAAUAAAUAAACUUAAGCA